GUUGAACGCCGGCGGCAGGCUUAACACAUGCAAGUCGAGCGGAGAUGAGGUGCUUGCACCUUAUCUUAGCGGCGGACGGGUGAGUAAUGCUUAGGAAUCUGCCUAUUAGUGGGGGACAACAUUCCGAAAGGAAUGCUAAUACCGCAUACGUCCUACGGGAGAAAGCAGGGGAUCUUCGGACCUUGCGCUAAUAGAUGAGCCUAAGUCGGAUUAGCUAGUUGGUGGGGUAAAGGCCUACCAAGGCGACGAUCUGUAGCGGGUCUGAGAGGAUGAUCCGCCACACUGGGUCUGAGACACGGCCCAGACUCCUACGGGAGGCAGCAGUGGGGAAUAUUGGACAAUGGGGGGAACCCUGAUCCAGCCAUGCCGCGUGUGUGAAGAAGGCCUUAUGGUUGUAAAGCACUUUAAGCGAGGAGGAGGCUACUGAGACUAAUACUCUUGGAUAGUGGACGUUACUCGCAGAAUAAGCACCGGCUAACUCCGUGCCAGCCGCCGCGGUAACAC
rnacentral:rRNA from 1 species